UGCUUGUAUGUGGCAGUGUAUGAUGAUACGUGAAAUAUAAUCGGUGGGACUACACGUCCGGGAGUGAUAGAAACACCUGGGACUACACGUCCGGGAGCGAUCUCAGUUGGGAGUGUCCUUGGUUUUCAGUGCUGGGCAGUAGCGAAGCGACUAGUUUAAUUACAUUCUCUAGUAGCUUGGUCGUAGCGUCACUACCAUGUAUCGAGUAGCUAACGUCCCUGUAGUUAAGCUAUUUUUCCUCAAGUAGCGACGUAGUCUACAAAAGCUACAAUUUGUCCCCCAUCGAUUUUACUCAAUGAUUUUUGUUUUACUUUCCCUAUCCUAAAACCUAGGCAGUCACACAGGGCAACAGUAGGCAACCUGUCCUUAAAAAGUAUGGGUCCUCAAAACAGCACUUGUUGCAGAAAUAAGUGUAGAUGGCCUCUUCAAGAAAUUGAAAUUAUGUAUGAUCACUUUUUCUUAUUGUUUCACGUGGAGGUCUACUGACCUUGUCUAAAUAAUGUAGGCUAGUUUAUGUCCAUGUAUUAUAUUAGGACCCAAGGUUAAUGGGUUAUUCUAUUUGCCAUGUUUUCACAGGCUGCUGUCUCAUAAUAUGGCGAAGACGAGUCACCUGAAGGCCUAACUCGCCAUAGAAGACUGAAAGAAUUGUCCUGCAGGAUGCUGUGUCCUGCAAUCCUGUGUGCUGUGCUACAGACGCGUGUGGAGGUCAACCCAAAAUGGGCACAGUCUCACCACAGAAGAGUGAAAGAGGAUCCUGGCAGGGAGACGGUAGUGUCCUGCAGAAUGGUGAUGGGCCAAUCUUACAAGAGACCACAGAAAACUGAUAUAGUGAACUAUAGAAACAGAGUGCCUGCUGCAGUAUGGCGAGGACACCCUGAGCAGAGAGCUCCAAUAGACCCAGGUCCAGUGUCUUGGCAGGGUGAAAUGGCACUGAUAUGGUGUCCUGCAGGAUGCUGUGUCCUGCAAUCCUGUGUGCUGUGCUACAGACGCGUCUGGAAGCCAACCUGAAAUAAGCACAGUCUCUCCACAGAGGAGUGAAAGAGGCUCCCAGAAGUGAGACUGAGUGCCUGUUGCAGUAUGACGAGGACACAGUGACCAGAGACCUUCAGUAGACCCUUCUGGCAUGAUUGGCGGCUGAAGAACAUGAAAUCAACAGCAAUGUUUAUAAUGUUGUACAUACCUGUAUAGUCUGUAUUAAAAGGCAGUACCUGUA